rnacentral:rRNA from 1 species
UUGAACGCUGGCGGCAGGCCUAACACAUGCAAGUCGAGCGCGAAAGGUUUUCGGACUGAGUAAAGCGGCGGACGGGUGAGUAACGCGUGGGAAUCUGCCCAGUAGUGGGGGACAACAGUCGGAAACGACUGCUAAUACCGCAUACGCCCUACGGGGGAAAGGGGGGGAUCUUCGGACCUCUCGCUAUUGGAUGAGCCCGCGUCGGAUUAGCUAGUUGGUAGGGUAAAGGCCUACCAAGGCUACGAUCCGUAACUGGUCUGAGAGGAUGAUCAGUCACACUGGAACUGAGACACGGUCCAGACUCCUACGGGAGGCAGCAGUGGGGAAUAUUGGACAAUGGGGGCAACCCUGAUCCAGCCAUGCCGCGUGUGCGAAGAAGGCCUUAGGGUUGUAAAGCACUUUCAGUGGGGAGAAAGGUUUGUCACCUAAUACGUGAUGAAAUUGAUGUUACCCACAGAAGAAGCACCGGCUAACUUCGUGCCAGCCGCCGCGGUAACAC